rnacentral:rRNA from 1 species
UUUCGCCUACGGGGGGCAGCAGUGAGGAAUAUUGGUCAAUGGGCGAUAGCCUGAACCAGCCACGUCGCGUGAGGGAAGACGGCCCUAUGGGUUGUAAACCUCUUUUGUCGGGGAGCAAGGUCGCUACGUGUAGUGAUUUGAGAGUGCCCGAAGAAAAAGCAUCGGCUAACUCCGUGCCAGCAGCCGCGGUAAUACGGAGGAUGCGAGCGUUAUCCGGAUUUAUUGGGUUUAAAGGGUGCGCAGGCGGCGAGUUAAGUCAGCGGUAAAAUUUCGGGGCUCAACCCCGACAAGCCGUUGAAACUGGC